GCAGAUGCAGGCCACCGCCCCGCCUGCCUUCAUCAUCAUCUUCGUCCCCGCAGGCCCAUUCUUCUCGCAGGUAAGGUUAGGCCGCUGCUCGCCUAUUUAUUUGGUCAGAAUUUCUGAUUUCUUGUUUCUCUGAUCCUGCAUAUGUAACACCUUCAGGUCGUCCACGUUGUAUCAGCUUCAGGAUAUGAAAUUCCCUAGUGUUUUUUGUAUACUCACAUUGCACAUCGCUCCAACAUUUUUUGUAGGCUGCCAGUUUGUGGUUUGUUCUAGAACAGAUGGCAAGUUACAGAUAAAAAUGUGACCCAUUAAAAAUGAUGGCAAAUUUGUUUGCAGUGAUGGCAAUUUUGAUAUGCACCCCACUGCAAAUUUGUCAUGUUUUUUGUUUGGGAAACAACAAUAAUUGCCAUAGCAAAUUCCUGUAUUUUGACAUCUUUCAAGAUUGAUCAUUAUGGUUCAAUCAUCUUAUAGCGGAAAAAAUGUCAUGGCAAUUUUAAACCCAUAGUUACCAUGGUCAUUUUCAAUAUGUAGUUUUUGCUUCGGCGGUAGAUAUGUCA
rnacentral:lncRNA from 1 species